rnacentral:rRNA from 1 species
UACGUAGGCAGCAAGCGUUGUUCGGAAUUACUGGGCGUAAAGCGCGCGUAGGCGGCUUUGUAAGUUAGAGGUGAAAGCCCGGAGCUCAACUCCGGAACUGCCUUUAAGACUGCAUCGCUUGAAUCCGGGAGAGGUGAGUGGAAUUCCGAGUGUAGAGGUGAAAUUCGUAGAUAUUCGGAAGAACACCAGUGGCGAAGGCGGCUCACUGGACCGGUAUUGACGCUGAGGUGCGAAAGCGUGGGGAGCAAACAGG